GACCCGAUUGCACAACGGUUAGUGCGUCUGCAUUCAGUUACUAUUCAAGAUAAUAUGUUUAUGCAGAAGAUCCCCCGUUUGACUCGGGGUCAGGUCA